AAAGAAAGAGAAAGUACCCACAAAAAAGCAAAUUAAAGUUUCCACUGCAUGGACAAAAGAAGCUUUUACUUAGUUUUUCACAGCUAAUACCAUUCUGUACUUACUUUACUACUCCAAAUUUCAAUAUAUUCUCUCUUAAUCUCUCUCCGCACCCUCCCUUUUCUCAUCUUCUAACUCUUUAGACUCUUCAAGUGCUCUCUAUUGUCAAGAAAUGGUUAAAUUUGGAGGUGUAGUUAUUUGUCUCUUGAUUGUUGCAAUUGAUGUGGGUGCUGGGAUUCUUGGCAUCCAAGCAGAAAUUGCACAAAACAAGGUUAAGCACUUGAGGCUGUGGAUAUUUGAGUGUAGAGACCCAAGCCAAGAUGCUUUCAAACUAGGGUUGGCUGCAGCAGCACUAUUAGGUCUAGCCCAUGUUAUUGCUAACUUGCUUGGUGGGUGUAUGUGCAUUUGUUCUCAAGAAGAGCUUCAAAGAGCUUCCACUAACAAGCAACUUUCUGUGGCUUGCUUCUUUUUUACUUGGAUCAUAUUAGCAGUUGGAUUGUCGAUGUUGGUGAUAGGCACUUUGUCAAAUAACAAGUCAAGAGCUUCGUGUGGUUUCUCACACCAUCAUUUUCUAUCAAUUGGAGGCAUUUUGUGCUUUGUUCAUGGACUGUUCUGUGUUGCAUAUUACGUUUCUGCCACUGCUGCUCUUACUGAGGAAGAAAAGUAUGGUGGUGCUUAAGCUUAUAACCAUAAGGCCCUUUUAUGUGCUGCGCUUUUCUUUUCCUUUUUUCCUUUCUUUAGUCAUUAGUCAUUUUCAUGCCCUCUUAUUGCAAGGUAAAUUAAGUUUGUAAUCAUCCUGUUUAAUUUGUGGCAUGAAACAACUAAUUAAAUAUAUUAGUUGUUAUAUUAGUUGUUAAUUAAUUUAAAUUUAUUUUCUUUAUUCAAAA
rnacentral:misc_RNA from 1 species